ACUGCACCGUCCUUCCGCGCCGUCGCCGAGGAGUCGUCGCUGUCGAGGGAGCCCAGAUGAGAGAAACUGCGCGGCACUGAGGGAGGAGAGCGCGGGCCAGUGACACGAGGAGCACGACCCGUUGCGCCGCCGUGUGCUAACGCUGUCGUCCUCACCGUGCCGCCAUUACCUUUGCCACCGAGACAGUCGCCGUCAUUUAUGGUAGAGCAGAGAGAGAGAGAGAUUGAGGCGAGCUUUGAGGAAGGGAGCUGCGCAAAAAUGGAGAAGGAGAACGGCGCCAUC